GACGAACGCUGGCGGCGUGCUUAACACAUGCAAGUCGAACGGAAAGGCCCUGCUUUUGUGGGGUGCUCGAGUGGCGAACGGGUGAGUAACACGUGAGUAACCUGCCCUUGACUUUGGGAUAACUUCAGGAAACUGGGGCUAAUACCGGAUAGGAGCUCCUGCUGCAUGGUGGGGGUUGGAAAGUUUCGGCGGUUGGGGAUGGACUCGCGGCUUAUCAGCUUGUUGGUGGGGUAGUGGCUUACCAAGGCUUUGACGGGUAGCCGGCCUGAGAGGGUGACCGGCCACAUUGGGACUGGGAUACGGCCCAGACGCCUACGGGAGGCAGCAGUGGGGAAUAUUGCACAAUGGGCGGAAGCCUGAUGCAGCAACGCCGCGUGCGGGAUGACGGCCUUCGGGUUGUAAACCGCUUUCGCCUGUGACGAAGCGUGAGUGACGGUAAUGGGUAAAGAAGCACCGGCGAACUACGU
rnacentral:rRNA from 1 species